ensembl:lncRNA
AUCUCCGAGGAGACAGACACAAACCAGCCGGUGCAGCUGACAUACCAGUCAAGGCUAUGGAAACAUAAGACUGCCAUGAAGUUGAAGCUUACAAGCUAAGAACAGCAUUAUCCACUCUCCAUACGUAAAGGUACAGGGUCCGAAGUGCCGCGCACAUCUCGCAAAGCCUCGUAGCUGCAAGUGUGCCUUCCACACUCCCCUGAGCUCGUUGAUCUCCUUUGUAAGAUUCCGGAGGGCUAGGAAGAUGUCCCAGUGGGUGAGAUAUUGGAUGUGGAAGCAAAUUCGAAGAUGUCGGCUUAGAUCCCAGCACUCACGGAGAAAGCCACGUGUGGAGGACGCUCGGUAUUGCAGUUAAACCAGAUCAGCGUUUGUUCUCAGGUUCAUUUGCCGUAGUAAGGCCAACCUCGGUGAGUAUCUUUCCUGACAUGUGAGUAUCCUUCCUGAUAUCCAAAUGGUUAUCAGGAAGAUUAUCUAGAAAAUCAAAAGUUUUCCACUCUUGCUCACACCAGCCCCAUCUCUGGAACACCAACCCUCAGGGGGCAUUUCCUCUGCUGAUUUCAGAU